CUUGUUUCCACCGAGCUAAAACAAUAUGUUGAUGUCUCUAGUAAACCAAAGUCAUCGUUUAAUAGCUAUUAUGCUUCAAUUUCUUCUUUACAAAUAAGAAAUUGAAGAUUAGUUACGAUUAGAAAUCAACUUUCUAUAUUCAUCCAUGGAUCCUUUAUUAAUACUAUUCAAUUGGAAGUAUUGAUCCAAUUCCAAAAUUAUGUUUCGCAAUUUCAUAAUCCAAU
rnacentral:lncRNA from 1 species